rnacentral:lncRNA from 1 species
GUCUCAUUAAGAAACCACUAGUUUGAAUUGCCCAAGCAAAAAUCUCAUUGUUUUAGAUCCGAACUAAGCCUUCGUAAUUUGUAAUUUUUUUGAAUCAAAUUAAGGGUUUAUUCAUUGUUUAUUUGAGGUAAAUUCGAAAUUGUUCGAAUUGUGUAAUCAUCAAUUACUGACAUUGGUAAGCGACCCAAAGCGAUUUGAUUAUAAUUCAAUUCGUGACGAUCAUAAGUAGAAAGUUCAUAUUCUUCGGUCAUUGAUAAACAAUUUGUUGGGCAAUACUCAACGCAAUUACCACAAAAUAUACAGAUUCCAAAAUCAAUACUGUAAUUAAGCAAUCGUUUCUUUCGAAUAUCAGUUUCCAACUUCCAAUCAACAACGGGUAAAUCUAUAGGACAUACACGCACACAUACUUCACAAGCAAUGCAUUUAUCAAAUUCAAAGUGUAUUCGGCCUCGGAAACGUUCCGAUGUGAUCAAUUUUUCGUAGGGGUAUUGAAUAGUUACAGGUAAACGAUUUGCGUGGGACAGGGUAAUCAUGAAACCUUGGCCGAUAUAUCUGGCGGCUCGUAUUGUUUGUUGACCAUAAUUUAUGAAUUCAGUUAUCAUAGGGAGCAUAUGUUGAAUAUCUAUAAAAAAGAUUUUAUGCUUGUUUCUUUCUCUUGUUUGAGACAAGUCGUGAAUCUAGGAUAUUGUGGUCUUUUACAAUGAAAGAAGUUGGGACGAGGUUGUCAAUAAUAGAUUACCUAGAGAAAUCGGUAAAAGAAAUUUCCACCCAAGAUUUAAUAGUUGGUCCAUUCUCAGCCUCGGUAAAGUCCAUCUUGUUGCAAUGUGAAUGAACAAAACCAAAUAAGUUUUGGCUAAUGUGAUAAAGAUACCAAUUAGUGUUCCAAAGAAUUUACCUCCUUUAUUUAUGCCAAAUAUCUCAGGAACAAAUAUGUACGGAAUAGACAGAUUCCAACCUCCCAAGUAAAGAACUGUUACAAAUAAUGAAGAAACUAGUAGAUUCAGAUGUGAAGCAAUGUAAAAUAAAUCAAAUUUGAUACCAGAAUAUUCGGUCUGAUACCCUGCCACUAAUUCUUCUUCUUCUUCUGGUAAAUCAAAAGGUAAUCUUUCACACUCGGCGAGAGAAGAAAUUAGAAAAAUGAUAAACCCGAUGGGUUGACGCCACAAAUUCCACCCCCAAAAACCAUAUUUUGACUGCGCUUCCACUAUAUCAACUGUACUUAAACUGUUAGAUAAUCAUAGUCGAUGAACAUCACUGUGCCCAUCGCUAUUACAGAACCGUACGUGAGAUUUUCACCUGAUACGGCUCCUCAGAGGUCACAACUAAAUCUAAGGGCCCUUUACUAUUCUUUAUCUUGAUAUGUUUGUCAGAUAGAGUCAAAAUCUAUUCUAAGGUCCCAAAUCAGAGCAAUGGAAUUUUGUCUGCUGUAUUUAAAACUAAUAAAUAAGUGCUUCUGAAUUUAUCUCAUCUUUUAAGAAUUUUAAUUUUUCUUUGUUGAUUAAUAACCUUAUCAUUAAAUAAAAAAAUGUGCUUUAUAGCAAUAUCACAUAUACAUUUCAACCUCAAAUUUUCAAUUACGAAAAAAAUUAGAGAGUACAUUAGUACAUGAAUCAUGACAAAAAAUUUAUCUCUCUGAAUAGAAAUAAAAAUUGAAUUAUAGGAAAGAAAGAAUAAAAACAAAAAAAGACAUUCCUCCUUUUUCCUUUUUCAAUUAGCUUCUUUUCUUUCUAUUUCUAUUUUUUUUAUUUCAUUCCUAUUCUCCUUUCUUAAAAAAAGGGUCUUUAACCAAAGUAAAAGAUUACUUCGUUCUUGAUAGUUAGUUACUUACUCAGUGGAUAGGAACAUACUCUGGAUCAGAAUCAUGGCGAGUACUUCUUAAUCAUUUCUACGAACGUAAAGCCCCAAUUAUAAUUCCUUUUAUGUAUAGAAAUAUCCUCUUGGAUAACUUACAUCAUCUCAAUUACUAAUCUUUUGUGUAUCUUGGUCUUCCUGACCAUCCACUCAUUUUUUGUUUCAAAAACCUCCCAUUGUGGAAAUCCAUCUAUGGUAAUAGACAGUAAAAACUCCAUAGAGUUGGUCUUUUGAACCCGCUUCAAGCUAUCAUGACAAUUCACGAAUCUUGGGGUAAACAAUCUCUCUUGCUUAUAUUUACUUUUUUCACCAUUUGAUUCUUGUACAUAGGAAAUGAGACUCAACUUUUUUACUGCAAAUUUAGAAGCCGUUUUCUUUCACUCAUAUAACUAUCUGAUUUAGUUCAUCAAC